rnacentral:ncRNA from 1 species
AGCUAGGGGUGCCAUUUUUGGCUGAGAGGAGAAAUCCGACCCUUUGAACCUGAAUUGGUUAGGACCAACGGAGGGAAGCUUGUAAU